rnacentral:rRNA from 1 species
AAAUUGAAGAGUUUGAUCAUGGCUCAGAUUGAACGCUGGCGGCAGGCCUAACACAUGCAAGUCGAGCGGUAGCACAGAGAGCUUGCUCUCGGGUGACGAGCGGCGGACGGGUGAGUAAUGUCUGGGAAACUGCCUGAUGGAGGGGGAUAACUACUGGAAACGGUAGCUAAUACCGCAUAACGUCGCAAGACCAAAGUGGGGGACCUUCGGGCCUCAUGCCAUCAGAUGUGCCCAGAUGGGAUUAGCUAGUAGGUGGGGUAACGGCUCACCUAGGCGACGAUCCCUAGCUGGUCUGAGAGGAUGACCAGCCACACUGGAACUGAGACACGGUCCAGACUCCUACGGGAGGCAGCAGUGGGGAAUAUUGCACAAUGGGCGCAAGCCUGAUGCAGCCAUGCCGCGUGUGUGAAGAAGGCCUUCGGGUUGUAAAGCACUUUCAGCGGGGAGGAAGGCGGUGAGGUUAAUAACCUCGUCGAUUGACGUUACCCGCAGAAGAAGCACCGGCUAACUCCGUGCCAGCAGCCGCGGUAAUACGGAGGGUGCAAGCGUUAAUCGGAAUUACUGGGCGUAAAGCGCACGCAGGCGGUCUGUCAAGUCGGAUGUGAAAUCCCCGGGCUCAACCUGGGAACUGCAUUCGAAACUGGCAGGCUAGAGUCUUGUAGAGGGGGGUAGAAUUCCAGGUGUAGCGGUGAAAUGCGUAGAGAUCUGGAGGAAUACCGGUGGCGAAGGCGGCCCCCUGGACAAAGACUGACGCUCAGGUGCGAAAGCGUGGGGAGCAAACAGGAUUAGAUACCCUGGUAGUCCACGCCGUAAACGAUGUCGAUUUGGAGGUUGUGCCCUUGAGGCGUGGCUUCCGGAGCUAACGCGUUAAAUCGACCGCCUGGGGAGUACGGCCGCAAGGUUAAAACUCAAAUGAAUUGACGGGGGCCCGCACAAGCGGUGGAGCAUGUGGUUUAAUUCGAUGCAACGCGAAGAACCUUACCUGGUCUUGACAUCCACAGAACUU